GACAGAGGAUGCAAGCGUUAUCCGGAAUGAUUGGGCGUAAAGCGUCUGUAGGUGGCUUUUUAAGUCCGCCGUCAAAUCCCAGGGCUCAACCCUGGACAGGCGGUGGAAACUACCAAGCUGGAGUACGGUAGGGGCAGAGGGAAUUUCCGGUGGAGCGGUGAAAUGCGCAGAUAUCGGGAGGAACACCGGUGGCGAAGGCGGUUCUCUGGGCCUGUACUGACGCUGAGGAGCGAAGCGUGGGAGCGAACAG
rnacentral:rRNA from 1 species